CAAAUGAAUUGACGGGGACCCGCACAAGCGGUGGAUGAUGUGGUUAAUUCGAUGCAACGCGAAAAACCUUACCCACCUUUGACAUGUACGGAAUCCUUUAGAGAUAGAGGAGUGCUCGAAAGAGAGCCGUAACACAGGUGCUGCAUGGCUGUCGUCAGCUCGUGUCGUGAGAUGUUGGGUUAAGUCCCGCAACGAGCGCAACCCUUGUCAUUAGUUGCUACAUUUAGUUGGGGCACUCUAAUGAGACUGCCGGUGACAAACCGGAGGAAGGUGGGGGUGACGUCAAGUCCUCAUGGCCCUUAUGGGUAGGGCUUCACACGUCAUACAAUGGUCGGUACAGAGGGUUGCCAACCCGCGAGGGGGAGCUAAUCCCACAAAGCCGAUCGUAGUCCGGAUCGCAGUCUGCAACUCGACUGCGUGAAGUCGGAAUCGCUAGUAAUCGUGGAUCAGCAUGUCGCGGUGAAUACGUUCCCGGGUCUU
rnacentral:rRNA from 1 species